rnacentral:rRNA from 1 species
GACGAACGCUGGCGGCGUGCCUAAUACAUGCAAGUAGAACGCAGUAGCGAACGGGUGAGUAACGCGUAGGUAACCGCCCCAUAGAGGGGGAAAAACAUUGGAAAAGGUAGCUAAUACCGCAAACGGUGAGACGGACCGGCUUUGUAUUAGCGAGUUGGGGAGGUAAAGGCCAACCAAGGCGACGAUACAUAGCCGACAGGAGAGGGUGAUCGGCCACUCUGGGACUGAGACACGGCCCAGACUCCUACCGGAGGAAGCAGUAGGGAAAUUUCGGAAAUUGACGGAAGUCUGACCGAGCAACGCCGCGUGAGUUAAGAAGGUUUUCGGAUCGUAAAGCUCUGUUGUUAGAGAAGCGGUAACUAACCAGAAAGCGACGGCUAACUACGUGCCAGCAGCCGCGGUAAUUC